UACGGAGGGUGCAAGCGUUGUUCGGAUUCACUGGGUAUAAAGGGUGCGUAGGCGGCCUUGUAAGUCAGAGGUGAAAGCUGCCGGCUUAACUGGCAAAUUGCCUUUGAGACUGCAAGGCUUGAGUCCGGGAGAGGAAGGCGGAAUUCCAGGUGUAGCGGUGAAAUGCGUAAAUAUCUGGAGGAACACCGGUGGCGAAGGCGGCCUUCUGGUCCGGUACUGACGCUGAGGCACGAAAGCCAGGGGAGCAAAC
rnacentral:rRNA from 1 species